rnacentral:rRNA from 1 species
GACGAACGCUGGCGGCGUGCCUAAUACAUGCAAGUUGAACGCUUGAUUUUCACCGAAGCUUGCUUCACCGAAAUCAAGAGUAGCGAACGGGUGAGUAACGCGUGGGUAACCUACCUAUCAGCGGGGGAUAACUAUUGGAAACGAUAGCUAAUACCGCAUAACAAUGUUGGAUGCAUAUUCGACAUUUGAAAGUACCAACUGGUACACUGAGAGAUGGACCCGCGUUGUAUUAGCUAGUUGGUAGUGUAAUGGACUACCAAGGCGAUGAUACAUAGCCGACCUGAGAGGGUGAUCGGCCACAUUGGGACUGAGACAC